GAUGAACGCUGGCGGCGUGCCUAAUACAUGCAAGUCGAGCGAACAGACGAGGAGCUUGCUCCUCUGACGUUAGCGGCGGACGGGUGAGUAACACGUGGAUAACCUACCUAUAAGACUGGGAUAACUUCGGGAAACCGGAGCUAAUACCGGAUAAUAUAUUGAACCGCAUGGUUCAAUAGUGAAAGACGGUUUUGCUGUCACUUAUAGAUGGAUCCGCGCCGCAUUAGCUAGUUGGUAAGGUAACGGCUUACCAAGGCAACGAUGCGUAGCCGACCUGAGAGGGUGAUCGGCCACACUGGACCUGAGACACGGUCCAGACUCCUACGGGAGGCAGCAGUAGGGACUCUUCCGCAAUGAGCGAAAGCCUGACGGAGCAACGCCGCGUGAGUGAUGAAGGUCUUCGGAUCGUAAAACUCUGUUAUUAGGGAAGAACAAAUGUGUAAGUAACUAUGCACGUCUUGACGGUACCUAAUCAGAAAGCCACGGCUAACUACGUG
rnacentral:rRNA from 1 species